rnacentral:rRNA from 1 species
UAUCAGAACUGUGGGGACACAGAGACAAAGGACGAGCCGGGAAUGGAAAAACCGGUGCAAGCGAGGUAGCUUCAUGGGAGGGAAAGCCCCCAUGUAUAAGGCGAAUGCGUGAAGCGUAGCGAACUUAAAAGUAGCGAAGCGUGUGGAGUCACUGUCAGGAAAAGCCGCUAUUGCGUAUCAUGAACCCGUACCGUAAACCGACACAGGUGGAUGAGGAGAGAAUCCUAAGGCCGACGGAAGAAGCAUUGUUAAGGAAUUCGGCAAAAUGACCCCGUAACUUCGGGAGAAGGGGUGCCUACGAAUGUAGGCCGCAGAGAAUUGGCCCAAGCAACUGUUUAGCAAAAACACAGGUUUAUGCGAAACCGAAAGGUGAAGUAUAUGAGCUGACGCCUGCCCGGUGCUGGAAGGUUAAGGGGAGAGCUUAGAGGCAACUCGAAGGUUCGAACUUAAGCCCCAGUAAACGGCGGCCGUAACAAUAACGGUCCUAAGGUAGCGAAAUUCCUUGUCGGGUAAGUUCCGACCCGCACGAAAGGCGUAAUGAUUUGGGCACUGUCUCGACAAUGCAUCCGGUGAAAUUGAAAUACCAGUGAAGAUGCUGGUUACCCGCGCCAGGACGGAAAGACCCCAUGGAGCUUUACUCCAGUUUGAUGCUGGGAUUCGGUACUGCAUGUACAGGAUAGGCGGGAGACUAGGAAGAUAUAACGCCAGUUGUAUCAGAGUCGCUGUUGGGAUACCGCCCUUGUAGUACUGGGUUUCUAACCUGCCACCGUGAACCGGUGGAGGGACAACGUCAGGCGGGGAGUUUGACUGGGGCGGUCGCCUCCGAAAGGGUAUCGGAGGCGCUCAAAGGUUCCCUCAGAAUGGUUGGAAACCAUUCGAAGAGUGCAAAGGCAGAAGGGAGCUUGACUGCGAGGUCGACGGACCGAGCAGGUACGAAAGUAGGACUUAGUGAUCCGGUGGUAGAAAGUGGGAUUGCCAUCGCUCAACGGAUAAAAGCUACCCUGGGAUAACAGGCUAAUCACUCCCAAGAGUUCACAUCGACGGAGUGGUUUGGCACCUUGAUGUCGGCUCAUCGCAUCCUGGGGCUGUAGCAGGUCCCAAGGGUCGGGCUGUUCGCCCAUUAAAGCGGUACGCGAGCUGGGUUCAGAACGUCGUGAGACAGUUCGGUCCCUAUCCGGCGCGGGCGUAGGAUAUCUGAAAGGAGCUGGCCUUAGUACGAGAGGACCGGGCUGGACGGACCGCUGGUGUAUCUGUUGUCAUACCAAUGGCAUAGCAGGGUAGCCAAGUCUGGAAGGGAUAAACGCUGAAGGCAUCUAAGCGUGAAGCCCCCCUUAAGAUAAGAUAUCCCUGGAGUUAAUCCAGUAAGACCCCUUGAAGACGACGAGGUAGAUAGGGCAGAGGUGGAAGUGUGGUAACACAUGGAGCUGACUGUCACUAAUAGGUCGAGGGCUUGAUCAA